CGGGGUGCAGCAGGCGCGAAACCUUUGCCAUGCGCGAAAGCGUGACAGGGGAAUUCCGAGUGGUAGGGGGGUUUACCUCCCUAUCUUUUGGCCAAUCCAAACAAUUGGCAGAAUAAGAUCUGGGUAAGACCAGUGCCAGCCGCCGCGGUAAUACUGGCAGAGCAAGUGGUAUCCACGAAUAUUGGGUCUAAAGAGUCCGUAGCGGGCCUGUUAAGUCCACUGUGAAAUCUGGCGGCUCAACCGUCAGGCGUGCAGUGGAUACUGGCAGGCUUGGGAGUGGGGGAGGUCGGGAGUACUCACGGGGUAACGGUAAAAUGUUGUAAUCCUGUGAGGACUACCAGUGGCGAAGGCGCCCGACCAAAACACGUCCGACCGUGAGGGACGAAGGCUAGGAGAACGAAUCGGAUUAGAUACCCGAGUAGCCCUAGCAGUAAAUUAUGCAGACUGUGGUGUUGCGUCGACUUCGAGUCGGCGCAGUGCUGUAGCGUAGGUGUUAAGUCUGCCACCUGGGGAGUACGACCGCAAGGUUGAAACUUAAAGGAAUUGGCGGGGGAGCA
rnacentral:rRNA from 1 species